UUUAUGCAAAGAAGGGGAACAUGUAAGAAAGAUGGCUGUAUGUUGUAUGUUUCGUUCUUGUUACUCUCGUUCAUUUGUCUGGUUGUUGCCGCAAUAUUCUCAAAUCUCGCAAUAGUUAGUGACUGUCAGGCUGUCGAGGGAUCUUAUCAAUAUACCAUGCAGAAUAGUUACAUUAUCGAGCCUCAGAAUGAUUCAACAUUUGCAACAGCAUCUUAUGUGCAUCAGGAGGAAAAUCAAAAUAAUAAGAGAGCAAAUGAAAAUACCUGUUUGGCACCUAAUAACAAUCAGACGUACUUUGCUGAUGAAAAAGUUCAUAUACCAGAAACAGAAAAUGGUUUCUUUAGUUUUAGAAAAUUAUGGGCUUUCACAGGUCCUGGAUUCUUAAUGUCCAUAGCUUAUUUAGAUCCUGGAAAUAUUGAAUCUGAUUUGCAAUCUGGCGUAGCUGCCAAAUAUAAGUUAUUAUGGGUAUUGUUAAGUGCAACCAUUCUUGGUCUUAUUAUGCAAAGAUUAAGUGCAAGGCUUGGUGUGGUAACAGGUUUGCAUUUAGCAGAAAUGUGUUACAGACAAUAUAAAAAAGUACCCAGGAUGAUUUUAUGGAUAAUGAUAGAAAUAGCCAUAAUUGGCAGUGACAUGCAAGAAGUAAUAGGAACAGCUAUUGCUUUAUCUUUAUUAACAAAUAAAGUGAUUCCUAUAUGGGGUGGUGUUCUUAUUACGAUAAUUGACACUUUUACGUUUUUAUUAUUGGACAAAUAUGGCUUAAGGAAAUUAGAACUCUUUUUUGGAUUUCUUAUUACAAUAAUGGCUGUCACAUUUGGAUAUGAGUACGUUGUUUCUGCCCCACCUCAAAAUGAAGUGAUAAGUGGAAUGUUUAUACCUUGGUAUAAAGAUUAUGACAGAAAUAUGUUGUUACAAGCUGUAGGAAUUGUUGGUGCAGUUAUCAUGCCACAUAACUUAUAUCUUCACAGUGCUCUUGUUAAAUCAAGAGACAUUGACCGUAAAGAAUCCAAAAAAGUGAAUGAGGCAAAUAUGUAUUACUUCAUUGAGGCAUGCAUUGCACUUCUGGUAUCUUUUAUAAUUAACGUAUUUGUUGUCGCAGUGUUUGCGCAUGGUCUUUUUAACAAGACUAGUUUAGAAGUUUACAAUCUGUGUGAAGCUAACAAUUAUACUGUAGGAAUGGAUACAUUUAAGAAAGAGAAUACAACCAUCUCAGUAGACCUUAACAAAGGUGGCAUAUUUUUGGGCUGUGCCUUUGGUGCGGCAGCAAUGUAUAUUUGGGCUGUCGGUAUUUUUGCUGCUGGCCAAUCUUCCACGAUGACAGGAACGUAUGCCGGACAAUUUGCAAUGGAAGGAUUUUUAAAUCUUCAGUGGGCUCGUUGGAAGCGAGUACUUUUUACGCGAAUGAUCGCUAUCAUUCCAACCUUCCUUGUCGCAUUUUUUAGUGACAUUGAUAAUUUAACUGGCAUGAAUGAUAUUUUGAACGCAAUUAUGACUCUUCAGUUACCUUUUGCAACCCUGCCAACGAUAGCAUUUACUAGUAGUCCUAAAAUUAUGGGUACAUUUCGAAACGGAUUAACUAAUAAAAUUGUUGCGACAGCAUUAUCCGCUGUUGUAAUAGCUAUAAAUAUAUAUUUUGUAAUAAAUACUGUCCAAGAUGAUUUGCCACAUCACUGGGCGGUAAUAGUUGCAAUUACAAUAUAUUCUAUUUUAUAUCUUCUAUUUUGCCUUUAUUUGACUAUUCAUAUGGCUGUGAGUAUGGGUGCGACUUCUCUUGGUGACCAUUGGUUCGUAAAGAGAUAUAUUGGAAGUCCUGUAAGUACAACACUUGGAUUAUCAAACCCUGCAAUAUAUGCAAGUUUCUUCAAUACGUCAGAAACAUCAUUAAGACCAUAAUCGAGUUUACAUCAUGAAUCUGCAUCUAACUACUUAAAACCAUAUUUCAAAAGUUGCGUCUUCAUCUGUCUCCAACUUUAUACAUGGUCUAAUCCAGCAUUUAACAUCCAAGAAAAUUGGUCUGGAAGCUUUAACUCGAUACCGGAAUACUGAUAUGACAAAUAAAACGUGGUAAAUAGUAUUUAAUACUCAUGGGUUGCAUUCUCAUAGAGUUAGCAUCAUAGAUUUUAAGAUUUUAUAGAAUUGAAAAUGAUAACUUCCUAUAAAAUAUACUCACCAAAUUGUUUUCUAAAAUUAGGGCUUUAACAUGUAAAAUAAGCAAAG